UACAGAGGGGGCAAGCGUUGUUCGGAAUUACUGGGCGUAAAUGGCGCGUAGGCGGCCUUCUAAGUCGAACGUGAAAUCCCCGGGCUCAACCCGGGAACUGCGUCCGAUACUGGAAGGCUUGAAUCCGGGAGAGGGAUGCGGAAUUCCAGGUGUAGCGGUGAAAUGCGUAGAUAUCUGGAGGAACACCGGUGGCGAAGGCGGCAUCCUGGACCGGCAUUGACGCUGAGGCGCGAAAGCCAGGGGAGCAAACGGG
rnacentral:rRNA from 1 species